rnacentral:rRNA from 1 species
GACGGAAGGUGCAAGCGUUGCUCGGAAUCACUGGGCGUAAAGGGGUGCGUAGGCGGCUUGGUAAGUUGGGUGUGAAAGCCCCGGGCUCAGCCCGGGAAGGGCACUCGAAACUGCCGAGCUGGAGUGCCGGAGGGGAGAGUGGAAUUCCUGGUGUAGCGGUGAAAUGCGUAGAUAUCAGGAGGAAUACCGGUGGCGAAAGCGACUCUCUGGACGGCAACUGACGCUGAGGCACGAAAGCGUGGGGAGCAAACAGG